UUGAAGCCCCAGUAAACGGCGGCCGUAACAAUAACGGUCCUAAGGUAGCGAAAUUCCUUGUCGGGUAAGUUCCGACCUGCACGAAUGGUGUAACCAUGGCCACGCUGUCUCCACCCGAGACUCAGUGAAAUUGAAAUUGCGGUUAAGAUGCCGUAUACCCGCGGCUAGACGGAAAGACCCCGUGAACCUUUACUAUAGCUUCACAGUGAACUUUGAGCAUGUUUGUGUAGGAUAGCUGGGAGGCUUUGAAACCUGGGCGCCAGCUCAGGUGGAGCCAAUCUUGAAAUACCAGCCUGGUACUAUUGGGGUUCUAACUCUGGACCAUUAUCUGGUUCGAGGACAUUGUGUGGUGGGUAGUUUGACUGGGGCGGUCUCCUCCCAAAGUGUAACGGAGGAGCACGAAGGUGCGCUAAUCACGGUCGGAAAUCGUGAGGUUAGUGUAAUGGCACAAGCGCGCUUAACUGCGAGACUGACAAGUCGAGCAGGUACGAAAGUAGGUCAUAGUGAUCCGGUGGUUCUGUAUGGAAGGGCCAUCGCUCAACGGAUAAAAGGUACUCCGGGGAUAACAGGCUGAUACCGCCCA
rnacentral:rRNA from 1 species